UGUAUAUAUGAGUGUAAUUCUUAUAGUUUUGAUUUUCUCUUACUAAUGUGUUUUAUAUAUUCAAAAUUAAGUUUAGAAGGAAUAUAAAAUGUAAAUAUCCAAAUUUAACUCCAACAAUCAAAAGGCCUAUUUUUAUUUCAUUUUGGUAGGAUCUAUACAGAGAAUAUAAUUAUUCCAAUGAAUGUUGAAUAUAAUACUCCAUUUGUACUUCCUUAAUAGGAUACAUUCUAAGGACGAAAAGAACUGCAAAGAAAUCUUGAAACUGCAAAGAAAUCUUGGUAAUUUUAUUGCUGAUAUGAAUAGAAUUAUGAGGACCCAAGACUUUCACUGCCAGAGAAAAUAUACACAAAUAUAAACCCAGAAGUUCAUAAAAAUCCCUGUAAUAUCAAAUAUGAUUAUAAAUAUUAAUAUGAACUCAUUUAAAAAUAUUUAAGAACAUUUCCUAGUUUUGUCCAUGGAAAGAACAUAGAAUUAAUGAUGCCCCAACUGGUAAAAAUAAGAUUCCCAGGUAUAUAUGAUCUCACUCACAAAAUUGGCACUCUAUGGCAAAACUGCAAAGCUGGUUAAAUCCAGUGCUGUACCCCUCAGGUGCCUGCACCUAUGAAGAUGGACUUACCUGGAGAAAAACACACCACACUAACUGAAUUCAUCACCCUAACCUGACGUGGGCCUCAGUGAUACCUCACGGUUGAAAUAUAGAUUCUUGGUCCAUUCACUGUGCUACUCUUUGGAUUAUUUCACACUUCUCUUUUCCCCUAUUUCCAAGUCACUUCCUCUAUCCUCACUCUGCCAGUUUUGCUUCCUAAUUCUCUGAGAAGAUGGAAACAAUCAGAAAAGAACUUCCUAGGCUCUCAUCACAUCUACACUAUACAAUCCAAACCAUCACUCACAUGUAGUCUAGCAUCUUUCCUGCUGUUAUAGAACCUCCCUUUCCUCCACAUAGGGAGAACAUCUCAUCCUCUCCCACCUUGCAUAGGGACAUUACGCCAGCAUUCUCCCUCCAUCACCAUUGUCCCUCGCUACUUAAUUAUUCCUAUGAGCAUAUACAUAUGUUAUUUCCCCAUCCUUUAGGAAACUUCUCCUAACCUCACUUUCUCUGCCAGCUACUGCCUUGAUUCUCUGCUUGGCAGAAAAACUCCUCAAAAGAGUUAUCUGUAUGUUCCAUAGGGCCCAUGAAACCACCGUCCAUAUAAAUUUAUGGAAUAUUUUCUCUCUCCAGAAGGUUUCCUCAUGCCCCUCCCUAGUCAACACACCCUCAAAAGGUAAUCACUAUUCUGACUUCCAUCAUUAUUUGUUUUGCCUAAACUACAUAUAAAUGCAUCAUCAGUAUGUACUGUUGUGACUACUUUCACUUAAUAUAAUGUCUGUAAUAUUCAUCUGUUUUGUUGCAAGUAUCAGUAGUUUCUUUUUUAAUUAAAUUACUAUGUAGUAUUCCAUUGAAUAGCCUCUUUUGUGACAGACCUCUUCAGGAAUUUCGCUCAUUUUAAAAAGUUGGAUUAUUGUCAUUUUCUUACUGAUUUAGAGAUGUUGGACGUACGUGUCAUGAAGAUCUCUCAGUCUGUGAUUUGCCUUUUUACCUGCUUAAUUGUGUCUUUUGAUGGGUAUGGUUCUUAAUUUUAAUGAAGUCAGUCUUUUAUGGUUAGUAUUUUUUGUCUUCUAUUUAGGACUGUCUCGAGGAAAUUUUCCUGUUUUACUCUAAAAGCUUUAUUGUUUUACACAUUUAGAACUGUGAUAUAUCUCAAAUUAAAUUUUGUAUACCCUGUUUGGUAGGGGUCAAGUUCCAUUUUGUUCCAUAAAAUAUCCACGUGUUCCAAUACCCCUUAUUGCAAAGCUAUUCAUUCCCUUAUAGACUUGCAUUGAUAUCUGUCAUAAACUGGGUCUUUUUCUGACUAUUCUCUUCCAUUGGUCUAUUUGUAUAUCCUGUGCCAAUCCUACACUGUCUUAACUUCUGUAACUUUGUACUAUGUCUUGAAUUCAAAUACGUUCUUCUCAAGCUUGACUGGGUUCUUCUGGUCCUGAUGUUUUUUGAUACCACAAAGUAAUACAUAUUGAUGCACCCAAUGCAGAUAAGGCCAAUUUUAUGUUAUCAGCAAUCAGUUGAUAGGAAAAAAAAUAUCUAUAUGGUGCUUGAACAAGUAUUUUGAAAAGCCUCAGAUGGCAAAAUCUCACCAAUAGUAUUUUAAGUGUCCAUAGUUCACCUAUUCUCAUUCCUUCAUUCUCCCCAGUCCAAUCAUGUGUGGAAAUGUACCAGUUUUUAAAGUGAGCGUGAAGUUAUUUCUUUAUACCAGGUCCUUAAUGUUCAUUUUGAGAAUAGUGAUAAGAAGUGGAGGGUUAACAAUGAUUAUCUAUGACAAAAGCACAGAAUAAAGGUAUAGGUAACAAACCCCCGGCUUUAUCCCAUGUUUUAUCAUUGACAGCACCAGGAUCUAUUAAUAAUGUAUUGAGAAACUUUACAUCUAUAUCAGUGGUUCUCAACUGGGUGGGGGGUGAUUUUUACUUCCUGGGGGACAUUUGACAACGUCUGGAACAUUCUUUUGGUCACAACUGGGGCAGGAAGUGGGACAGAGAGGAAGGUGCCUCUGACUUCUAGUGGGUCCAGACCUAGAAUGUUGCUCAACACCCUACACUGCACCAGACAGCAAAGGAUUAUCCAGCCGAAGAUGUCAGUCUGCAGAGAUUAAGAAACCCUGAUCUAGAUGGUCACAUCUUUCUCCAAAAGAAAGAUAUUCAGGUCACUUCACAAUCCCCCUGAUUCUCUUGGUUGCGAUACAUAGCCUUUCCCAGCUGAUAUUCCUAAGAAACCAAAGAACUAGGAAGGCGUGAGGGAAGAGACAUUUCUCAGAUCCAUCGAGGAUUGACUUCUGUUUUCCUGCUCAUGGCCACAUGAUCCAAGGCCUCCACUGUUCCUGUGAAACCCACUUCCAUCUCAGGGCCUUGGCCUUGCUGUUCCCUCUGUACUGGACCCUUCUCCUGGGGAGCCACAGACUUCAUGCAGUUCUCUUCGGAAGUGGCCACUCCUCAGACUCCAUCCCUUGCCAUCCUAAUGAAAACACACCCCUUGUUGGUUUCCACUUCCUUAUUCAGUUGUUUUUUUGUCUGUCGUGUCAUACAUCAAUUACCUGACUUGUGUAUUUUUUGUAUCCUCCAGUAGAAUAUCAAACUCCUAGAGGGCAGGUCUUAGUUUUGUAUUUGCCUGUGUCCUCCGUGCCUAGGACAAUUCCUUGCCAUAAAUAGGGGACAAAUAUAAUAGGUCCUACUGUAUUGAAUCAUGUGGAAGCAAUAAACAAAGUCCGUAUCCACCAGAAGCCAAAGGAGAGAUAAAAUGAUUUUCAUGAUGUCCUUAUCCUGUGCCCACAUGCCAUCUUCUACCCUUGGAGUAACAGUUCAGUCACUCCAGCUCACCAAGAUCAACAAGGAGAUUUUAUCAUCAAGAAGUCAGAAUUCAGGUGCUGUCCUCACAGUGCAAUGAAAACCCACUAAGAGCCCAAAUGGCAACUUUAUGGGCACACUGCUUUCAGCCUCCUUCAUUUUGGAACGAGAAACAGUGCCCCUUCUCUUGGGAGCUCCUUAGUGAGCUGUGACUCCCUUCAUGGCUGAGAGAGAGGGGGCUGGAGAACACAGGCUGAUUAGGAUGUCAGCUGGGGCAAAGGGAAUCAAAGGUCCUUCUUGUAAGCGUUUUUUGUAAGCACCAUAACAUCAGUUCAAGCCUCCUACACGGUGACGGGGGAAAAGCCCAAGGCUGAAUGGUUUAUUUUGUUGUCUUUACUUCAAUAAUAAAAUAUCAAGUAUAUUUUAGUGGAGAGUUUCUGAUACACCUUUUAGUAUGUCAGGCUUUUAUCCUGGACUCUAUCCUAACUUGUGAGAAGAUGCUUGAGGCUAGUGCCAAGGGCUGGUGAAGGGAGAGACUAUGUGAUUUUUAUCAUUGUCUGGUGA